CGGCCCUGCCAUGCAAGGAAGGUGCCGUCGUUUGAGCGGAGUCGAAUGCGAACGAGAAGAGGAACCAAGAGAAUCUGUAAAGCGAAAAGGAGCAUAUCUAGGGUAUCUUCUUCCGGAUCUCUCUAGCCUGAAGGGAUCGGGCUCAAGUAGCAUAUUACUUUUCCGCGAGGAUCGGCUGGUUUUUAGAGGAUUUUGAUGGGAUCAUUCUUGAGUGUGCCUGCUGCUAAGUCUGGUGAAGGCGUGCAUUGUGAAACAUCCCGUGGUGAUGCAAACAAAAAGAUAAGAAUAUCAUCGUAUUUUGAUGACAACCCGAGGCUGAUCCCUAGUCUUCCAGAUGAAGUCUCGAUUCAAAUCCUAGCGAGAUUGCCGAGAAUUCACUACUUGAAUGUGAAGUUGGUUUCCCGGCGAUGGAUGAUUGCUAUCAUGAGCGGUGAGCUGUUUCAGCUGAGGAGACAACUUGGGGUGACUGAAGAAUGGUUAUAUGUAAUGACGAAGACAGGAGGGGACAAGUACUUGUGGCAGGCAUUGGACCCUCGUUCGGGAAAAUGGCAACGGUUGCCGCCGAUGCCCCAUGUUGUGGAUGAGGAAGAGCCAAAGAGGGGGUUGCCUGGAUUUUGGAUGUGGGGUGUGGUGGGCUCCAGCAUCAAACUUGCUGAUUUCAUAAGAGGUUGGCUCGGGCGCAGGGAUAACUUGGAUCAGAUGCCCUUUUGCGGAUGUGCAGUUGGUGUUGUCAAUGGCUGCCUCUAUGUAUUAGGUGGAUUUUCUCGAGCCUCUGCCAUCAAUUGUGUUUGGCGGUAUGACCCGUGUCUUAACUUGUGGCAGGAAGUGAGCUCUAUGACCAGUGCUAGGGCUUUCUGUAAGACAGGCAUAUUAAACGACAAACUUUAUGUUGUGGGGGGAGUCGUGAGGGGAAGAAAUGGCUUAAUUCCUUUACGAACUGCUGAAGUUUUUGAUCCCGUAACAAGUCUUUGGACGGAGUUGCCAAGCAUGCCUUUCGUGAAAACACAGGUGUUACCUACUGCUUUUUUAGCUGACAUGCUGAAGCCUAUUGCAACCGGAUUGGUUUCAUAUAGGGGAAGGUUGUGUGUUCCACAGAGUUUAUAUUCUUGGCCCUUCUUUUUCGAUAUUGGAGGUGAAAUUUAUGACCCAGAGACAAGUUCGUGGGUGGAAAUGCCACAUGGUAUGGGUGAUGGUUGGCCUGCUAGGCAAGCAGGAACAAAGUUGGGUACUGUAGUCAAUGGAGAUCUAUAUGCGUUGGAUCCUGCUAGUUGUUUGGACAAUGGCAAGAUAAAGAAGUAUGAUAAUCAGGAGGAUGUUUGGAGAGUUGUUAUAGAAAAUGUACCAGUUCGUUAUCUCACUGACUCUGAGUCUCCAUUUCUGCUUGCUGGUUUACUUGGGAAGCUCCAUGUUAUCAUGAAAGAUGCCAAUCAUCAUAUUGUGAUAUUGGAAGCUGACUUACAGAGACGUACAGGCUCAAAUGUUUCGACUUCAUCAACUGCUCCAGCUGACUCUUUGACUGACAACCCUGUUUCCUUGGUAGAGGAAGAGCCUGAAUUUUGGAAGGUCAUUGAUGCUAAGGAUUCUGGGGUAGCAGAGCUUGGAUACUUAAAGUUUCAUGGUCCCAGAAGCUAUCCAUUGUGGAGGAACAAUCUUAAAGUUGCAGAGAAAUUAGAUAACUUAAGAGAAGCAAGAAGAUUUGCAGGCAUCAACCCUGAACAUCCGACAAUCCAGUGGAUUUGCAGAAUGUCACAGGAACCGUCAGAUUUGCAGGCAUUUCCACCUACCAUUUCUUGGCAUAUACCCCUCAUCUAAAUCUUCCAGUGUUGGUAAUCCCAGAAAGCGAGCUUUUUGUGAACUCAUUUUCAGUGUUCUUUGUAAAGAUACUAUAUUCAGAUUUCAGAGUGUUUUUUAAGAAUUCAGUGGACUGUUAUGCUUAAAGGCUAUUAUUUCUUGAAGUGCAAUAAAUUGAAAUUAUAAUAACAUUUACUUCCACUUGCCAAGGGAGUUUCUGACUGGACUUACAGGUAAAUGAUCAUUUUUCGGAAGUUAUUAGAAGUGGCUGGUCAUCUCUAUACUGGUUAAAAGAGUACUAGGAAGCCCAGUUUGCACCACAGAUGGAGUUGUAGUUAUGGUCAAUUGCAGCCAUGAGGUUAGUGCAAGGUGAUGUGAGGCUUCAUAGUGUUCCACUUAUGGUUAUUUUGUGGUCUUCUUAAAUCUUUAUAUGGCUUUAUCUAAGUUACUUUACAUUUUAUUUUAUUAUUGUUUUACAGAUUCAUAUGAUUUUUCAUGUAUUUUUCUCUAUCUUCAUGAGGUCAGUGCAAGGUGAUGUGAGGCUUCAUAGCGUUCCACUUAUGGUUAUUUUGUGGUAUUCUUAAAUCUUUAUAUUGCAUUAUCUAAGUUACUAUACAUUUUAUUUUAUUAUUGUUUUAAAGAUUCAUAUGAUUUUUCAUGCGAGUAGAACUGUGUUUUCCCAUUUUAUUGAGUGGUAAGUUGAACAAUUAUCUGCUAGGUAAAACAAUGUGGUCAUCAUAUUCCGAGCUUUGAACAUGUGAAAAAGUCAAGAAAUACAACCAUAGUUCUACAUUUUUCAGGCUUGAUUUUGUCAUAUUGGUGGAAACUUUGCUUUCUACUGAUUGGGCAAGAUGUAUAGUUUGAAAUUUAUUUAUUUAUUUAUUUACUUCAGAUGAUCAUUUUUAAAAAAAUGUUCAUGCAACAUUAUGGUAAUUAGUUGGCAUAUCUAUUUCACAUCAAACAAAUUCAACUUACACCGACAACAAUUAACAAUGGAUCAACACAACCCAUUAUGAGUAAUCCACGGUACAUAUAUUUCUUUUGCUUAUUAAAAGUUUCUGCAGACAGUAGAAAAAAUGAUUGCACAAAUGACAGGCUAUCAGUCAAAUUGGCCUUCAGACUCAACACCAUGUUUUAGAAUACCCGUCAGACAAUUAUAUAUACCUGCCAGUAUUUCUUGUCCAAUUAAACACCGAUAUUGGACCAUAUGUGAGUCCAGCUCAGUAUUCCGUUUAUCUUAUUAUUAUUUUCUUCAGUGAUAUCGUGCACAUAUUGGUUUCGUGUCUGAAAUGUUAUCAAAAUUGUUAUCAGAAUUGUAUUUGAAACAUUGUAAUUUUUAGCUUUCUUUCAGUAGAUAUAAUUGGAUUUGCAUCUAUCUCUAUGAGUCGAAUGUAUUAUCUGUAAUUGGAGACUCUUUGUUUGUCAUUUCAAUCUGGUUAUAUGCUUCAAACCAGUUAACGAUCCUUUCCGAUCGAGUGCAUCAACUAUUCUAAAGUUGGAUUUCAGACUGCAAAGCUGGCUCCGUUUUAAUGCAACCACUAGAAUUUCAUGAAGUAAUGCUAUUUGGAAAGUCAACACAAGUUCCUUCACAUUUUCUCUUUUAAGUCUCUCGUUAGUGUGUCAUUCUUUGGGAUUGAAUUAUUCCACCAUGAAUUAUUUUCAUAGAUUGGAAGUUCUGAUAUAAUUAUUUGUUGUUAUUUGACUAGAAGCAUGGCUGCAGUUGGACUCUUUAUGGAUGGCUUUGUCAAUUCUCUUCAAGGCCAUUUUCUUCAGUUUAUGAAGUGAUUCUGAGAAGGCGAUGUCUCCUUUUGGUUGCUUGUGAUGAAAAGUGCUUCAGAAUCUUAAAUCUUUUGGAACUGCUGUUAUAUAUACCUUUUCAGAGAGAGUCUUGGAACAUCUACAAAGUUCACACAUUGAUGUUCCUGAACUAACCCAUCCUGCCCUGCUCAGAGAUGCAAUUGCAUGCUCAGAGAAACAACUAGCUAAAGCCCCAAAGCAAUUAGAAACUUGUGAUGUAAUUGCGUAUUGAACUCUUUUGGUCAGUUCACUUGGAGCAAAGUUUAGCUUAAAAUUAAGCUAGCCAUCGAAUGCAAUUUAGAAGUUCUGAUCAGCACCGUUGCCUGGAGGACCUACACAUUGCUUUGACACUGUUUUUAUGCCACCGGUCUCAGACAGUUUGUGGAGAAAUCUUGGUAACAAUCUACUAUAACAUGCAAAGAUUUGUGGUUGUAUAAAUUGCAGUCUCAAACAAGAACACCUGUUGCUUUUUGACAAUGAUGUUGGUAAGAUUCUGUGAUUCUUUUCACAGUUGAUCUGUUAAUGAAACAUAAUUUUGCUGAAC